UGGGGAAUAUUGCACAAUGGGCGCAAGCCUGAUGCAGCCAUGCCGCGUGUGUGAAGAAGGCCUUCGGGUUGUAAAGCACUUUCAGCGAGGAGGAAGGUGGUGAGCUUAAUACGCUCAUCAAUUGACGUUACUCGCAGAAGAAGCACCGGCUAACUCCGUGCCAGCAGCCGCGGUAAUACGGAGGGUGCAAGCGUUAAUCGGAAUUACUGGGCGUAAAGCGCACGCAGGCGGUUUGUUAAGUCAGAUGUGAAAUCCCCGGGCUCAACCUGGGAACUGCAUUUGAAACUGGCAAGCUAGAGUCUCGUAGAGGGGGGUAGAAAUUCCAGGUGUAGCGGUGAAAUGCGUAGAGAUCUGGAGGAAUACCGGUGGCGAAGGCGGCCCCCUGGACGAAGACUGACGCUCAGGUGCGAAAAGCGUGGGGAGCAAACAGAUUAGAUACCCUGGUAGUCCACGCUGUAAAACGAUGUCGAUUUUGGAGGUUGUGCCCUUGAGGCGUGGNUUCCGAGCUAACGNGUUAAAUCGACCGCCUGGGGAGUAC
rnacentral:rRNA from 1 species